rnacentral:rRNA from 1 species
UUUCUUCCCUUCGGGGACCUAGUGACAGGUGCUGCAUGGCUGUCGUCAGCUCGUGUCGUGAGAUGUUGGGUUAAGUCCCGCAACGAGCGCAACCCUCGUCCUUAGUUGCCAUCAUUAAGUUGGGCACUUUAAGGAAACUGCCGGUGAUAAGCCGGAGGAAGGUGGGGAUGACGUCAAGUCCUCAUGGCCCUUACAGGCUGGGCUACACACGUGCUACAAUGGCAUCUACAGUGGGCAGCUAUUCCGCAAGGAUGCGCUAAUCUCCAAAAGAUGUCUCAGUUCGGAUUGUCCUCUGCAACUCGAGGGCAUGAAGGCGGAAUCGCUAGUAAUCGCGGAUCAGCAUGCCGCGGUGAAUACGUUCCCAGGCCUUGUACACACCGCCCGUCACACCAUGGGAGUUGGAUUCACCCGAAGGCAGUGCGCUAACCGCAAGGAGGCAGCUGACCACGGUGGGUUCAGCGACUGGGGUGAAGUCGUAACAAGGUAGCCGUAGGGGAACC